rnacentral:rRNA from 1 species
GACGAACGCUGGCGGCGUGCUUAACACAUGCAAGUCGAACGGUAAGGCCCUGCUUUUGGGGGGUGCUCUGGCGACGAACGGAUGAGUAAGUCGUGAGUAACCUGCCCUCUACUUUGGGAUGACUUCAGGAAGGUGGGGCUACUAACGGAUAGGAGCUUCUGCUGAAUGGUGGGGGUGGGAAAGUUUCGGCGGUUGGGGGUGGGUUCGCGGCUUAGCAGCUUGUUGGUGGGGUAUUGGCUUACCAAGGCUGUGCCGGCUAGGCGGCCUGAGAGGGUGGCCGGCGACACGGGGACUGAGAUAGGGCGCAGACUCCUACGGGAGGCAGCAGUAGGGAGUAUGACACAGUGGGCGGGAGCCUGAGACAGCGACGCCGCGUUCGGGAUGUCGGCCCUCGGGGGGGAAAGGGCUUUCGGCUGUGACGUAGCGUGAGUGAGGUUAAUGGGUAAAGAAGCACCGGCUAACUACGUG